rnacentral:rRNA from 1 species
GAUGAACGCUGACAGCAUGCUUAACACAUGCAAGUCAACUUGAAUUUGGGUUUUUAACUUAGGUUUGGGUGGCGGACGGGUGAGUAACGCGUAAAGAACUUGCCUCACAGCUAGGGACAACAUUUGGAAACGAAUGCUAAUACCUAAUAUUAUGAUAAUAGGGCAUCCUAUAAUUAUGAAAGCUAUAAGCGCUGUGAGAGAGCUUUGCGUCCCAUUAGCUAGUUGGAGAGGUAACGGCUCACCAAGGCGAUGAUGGGUAGCCGGCCUGAGAGGGUGAUCGGCCACAAGGGGACUGAGACACGGCCCUUACUCCUACGGGAGGCAGCAGUGGGGAAUAUUGGACAAUGGACCGAGAGUCUGAUCCAGCAAUUCUGUGUGCACGAUGAAGUUUUUCGGAAUGUAAAGUGCCUUCAGUUGGGAAGAAACAAAUGACGGUACCAACAGAAGAAGUGACGGCUAAAUACGUG